UACGGAGGGGGCUAGCGUUGUUCGGAAUUACUGGGCGUAAAGCGCACGUAGGCGGCUUUGUAAGUUAGAGGUGAAAGCCCGGAGCUCAACUCCGGAAUUGCCUUUAAGACUGCAUCGCUAGAAUUGUGGAGAGGAGAGUGGAAUUCCUGGUGUAGCGGUGAAAUGCGCAGAUAUCAGGAAGAACACCCGUGGCGAAAGCGGCUCUCUAGAACGGUACUGACGCUGAGACGCGAAAGCGUGGGGAGCGAACAGG
rnacentral:rRNA from 1 species